AUUAUUAGAAUCACAAUAAAAAACAUAAUAAUUUGUGAAAAUUUCAAAAAAUUUCAAUGAAAAUUAAGCGAGAUUUUGCAGUUUACAUAUAUUUUUUUUUUUUGCAUAUUAAUGAGGUUUAAUUAAAAAAAAAGCCAUGCAUUGAAGGGAUUAAUCCAUGUUGGAUGAACCAUUACUUUAAUGUAAGAACUUUAUCAAAGUUUUCACUAUUAUGAAGUGUCUCUGUAUCAAUUCAUUUGUACGUUGUAAACAUUUCCAUAAUUUAUCCUUGUUUAUGAUAUUUUAUCGCUAUCAGAAUCUUUGCAUCAUUCCAUUUUACUUUCAGUUCACAAUGAUAUACUCUUUUCAUCAAAGUAUAUUUCUGUAUCUUGGAGGCAUACAACACUAUAUCCAAUUCUUUGAAAUUGAAUAUAGUGUCAUAUGCCUCCGAAGUACAGAUUUAUCUUAAUGAAAAAAGAUGAAUGGCACUCUUUGGUUCAACAGUUUGAAGAAUGAAUGAUAAAAGUGAGAUGAUACAAGGAAGUAUGAAGAAUGAAUGAAAUAAACCUGUCAAAAAAGUGUAGCGGAUGAGCACUGGAAGAGAUAAGACACUAUUAAUACUGAAUAACAGCACUUAAAUGCAGUUCUGGGAAAAACUUAAAUUUUUAAUUUAGAAAAAACAAACGUUUUCGGCCCUUAGGCCAUCAUCAGGUUUCGUUCUGGAAUACAAUUUGAAAUACAAAACAGA
rnacentral:lncRNA from 1 species